AGGACAUGGAGGUUGAUGCUUGGGAACUUCGGGACAUUCUAAAUUCAUCCCUUCGUCAAGCUACCUUCGAAUCAAAGAGCCGCGGUGACAAGGCCAGAUUCAAUUUGGAAGAACUGCUGAUGGUAUACUUCUACUCUUAAUUUUCCCGGUGCCAUCGUGGUUCAUGAGAAGCAGUCGGUCAAGUUUUAACAAUUCAGUGUUUACAACCACAAAAUCAUCUUUCAUUUACAAUUUUAUUAUGCAUUUGAUAUGCCUACAGUGAUGUUAAAUAUCACAUGAAUAUAAGAAAUAUUGAGUAGUAUAGCUGAUCAUAAUUUAAUUAGGUCUGUUAAAUAGAGGUUUUGCCGACAUGCCAACAGGUUUUAGUAGUUUGUAUAAUGGAUAUAAGCACUUUUGGGCAAUUUUCGAGACACUUUUGGAGACUUGGAAAAGUCAGUCUCUAUAAUGUGGCCCCUGCCGGAGAAUCAUGCGCCCUUGGUUCGUUGGUAGUAGAUCUACAAACAAAUUAAUCAGUGAGCAUAUUUCAGUUCAUAUUGUUGUAAAUUGGUGAUGAUAAUAAUACUCAAAGUUUUAAACUAAUAUAGGUCUUUGUGGCCAAUUUUGCA